GAAGAAGAAGAAGAAAAAGAAGAAACAAUAUUUUUGGGACAAGUGUAUGCAUUGACAAAUGAAAUAUCCCGACAAACAAUACAAGCUAUUGAACAUUCAUUACAUAUAUCAACUAAAAGCUACAUGCAAUUACUUCUUUUGUCAAUAACUUGCAACACAACCAUCUAUUGCAACCACCAACUUGUAACAUAUGCUUCUAAGUUCAAUAUCAGCAAAUUCUGAGGCACAAUAUCUGCAGUAUCAGCCUAAAUGUCACAUUUUUAUAUAUCUGAUGCAUCUGGAUAAGCCCAUGUCUGCAAUCAUGAUUUCCCAAAACCAACAGCAACGUUCUUUCUUUUGCGCGUUUCAAUUCUUUCAGGACUCGGGAGUCCAGUCUUAUCCUCAUAUUUAUUUUCUAAGGCCUGUAAAAAUUAUCAGCACCAAACAAUAUGAUAUUCCAAUCCACAAAAGAGCCUGAUAAUAAUCCAGGAUAUACAUAUGGAAUUUCUUUGCCAUAACAAUAUUAACAAACCAAAUUAUACAAAAACAAAAUAACACAAUUAGAUUUUGUAUAAUGUCUUACUAGAAACAAAGCCGAUUGAAUUUGCAUUUGGCUAGUAAAAUGCUGUAUAUUGCUGCAGCAGCAACAAAUAUAGUUAUCCAGGCAUAAACAAUGUAUUGUCAUUUGUAUUCAUCUCUCUCUUACAAGUGCAAUGGGUGUGAGAUAGUCUACCUUAGAUCUAAAUAGUGCUGUGAUUUGCAGUGCGUCACUCAAAUUAAAGGCACUAUGCAUAAGCAUGCUUGCCCAUGCAUUGACUAGAAACCACCUUAAUUGAAAUCAAUUAAGGUGUAACUAUAAUAAGAUUAUUUUAUGGCAAUUAAAUGAUCAUGAUUGCAGCGCAGGAUUUUUGACCCAUUCUUUUAUGUUGGAUUCGAAAGAUCAAUAGAACCUUUUAUAAUUCACAAAUAUCUGAGAUUCCUCUUAAGUAAAUGAAGAAAGAAAAUGUCCAUGUUCUGGCAACAUGCUACAAAAAGGUCAGUACCUGGAUUGCAAAAUAGUAGUUCAUUAAGUUGCUAAUUGCUAGUUUCUAUCAUGCAAUGGCUAAAGUUUUGUACAGAAACAACUGGGAAGCAUGUCUAGCUCUAUAUAUAAAAAAUAUUUUCUAGCAUAGAAGUAAACCCAAUUUUUCUCGUGGCAUUAGCCGUUAUGACCACUGGCGCACUUCCACUCACCUGUAGAUCUCCACGAAUACUGUCAAGAACUUCUUCAGUCAUUCUAUCAAAGAACAGAAUCCCCUGCAAGAUCAUGAGCUAUCUUAGCAAAAGACUAACACUUUGACAGCAGAGAAAACAACAUAGAUCUGUUAGAAGCUUGGUUUUAUUUUAUACAACACACACACAUAUAGAGGAAUUAAGAGGGGGCGAAAACUUGAGGAAGCACACAGUUAGGUCUGGAGCUUCAUAAUUGUGUCCCUUUGCUAGACAUGAACUUCAAUAUACAAAAUCUUUAAGAGACUUGUAGUAAACUCUAGCCAACAAAUUGAUACUUCUUUUGGAGGAUCCAAAUAAAGUUGCGGGAAAAAGGCAGUAAGAUUACAAUAUCAAGAGAACACUAUACACUUGAAAAUUUUAUUUUUGGAAGUAUAACUAGAAAAUUAGUGCUGCAAGAAACAUUCUCUAUUAAACAAAAUGAAAAUUGAUCUUGCAGUUGCACUUAAUCUAAAAAAAAUUCUAACCUCUAAUAUAGCAAUCUGUCUGUUUUUAUGUAUAUAGAAGCUGUAAUACAUGUACAGUAGUGUAGCCACAUCCACUCAGAAUUCCUCAAUGAGAGGCAUUCAACUAAAUGUAAAUACAACUGUAGCUUGCAAAACUUACAAGGUAACAAACUGUUAUAUCUAAUCUUUUGUUAUGAAUAAGGUUUAAAGUGAAGAAAAGACCUGCAAAUGGUCAAAUUCAUGCUGGAAAACCCUUGCAGGAAGACCUGACAAGUUGACAGUAAACCUAGCACCAUUAAUGUCCCUUGCAUCAAUCUUUACGGAUUCUGGUCUCUCAACAUCAGCAUGGAUCCUAGGAAAGGAUAGGCAGCCUUCAUUAAAAAGCACCAUUUUCUUUGAAUAUUUGUUAACUCUUGGAUUGACAAGAACGAUUUCCUCUCCCUCACCGGGCUCUCCAACUGGAUUAAACACCAUAAGUUGAACAUUAAUUCCUACUUGGGGUGCUGAGAGCCCAAUACCAUCAGUU
rnacentral:misc_RNA from 1 species